rnacentral:rRNA from 1 species
CCAGAGAAUUUAGCAGAGAUGCUUUAGUGCCUUCGGGAACUCUGAGACAGGUGCUGCAUGGCUGUCGUCAGCUCGUGUUGUGAAAUGUUGGGUUAAGUCCCGCAACGAGCGCAACCCUUAUCCUUUGUUGCCAGCGCGUAAUGGCGGGAACUCAAAGGAGACUGCCGGUGAUAAACCGGAGGAAGGUGGGGAUGACGUCAAGUCAUCAUGGCCCUUACGAGUAGGGCUACACACGUGCUACAAUGGCGCAUACAAAGAGAAGCGACCUCGCGAGAGCAAGCGGACCUCAUAAAGUGCGUCGUAGUCCGGAUUGGAGUCUGCAACUCGACUCCAUGAAGUCGGAAUCGCUAGUAAUCGUAAAUCAGAAUGUUACGGUGAAUACGUUCCCGGGCCUUGUGCACACCGCCCGUCACACCAUGGGAGUGGGUUGCAAAAGAAGUAGAUAGCUUAACCUUCGGGAGGGCGUUUACCACUUUGUGAUUCAUGACUGGGGUGAAGUCGUAACAAGGUAAGCGUAGCGAG